CGAUGGUUGUGUAGUGGACAACCAUGGCCAUAACGGGUAACGGAGAAUCAGGGUUCGAUUCCGGAGAAGGAGCUUGAGAAUUGGCUACUACAUCUAAGGAAGGCAGCAGGCGCGCAAUUACCCAAUCCCGAUUCGGGGAGGUAGUGACAAAAAAUAACAAUACCGGGCCUUUUUGGGCUUGGUAAUUGGAAUGAGGGAGAGUUAAACGGACCAUCGAGUAUCCAUUGGAGGGCAAGUCUGGUGCCAGCAGCUGCGGUAAUACCAGCUCCAAUAGCGUAUAUUAAAGUUGUUGCAGUUAAAAAGCUCGGUUACUGUGAGAAAAUUAGAGUGUCCAAGGCAGGCAUUGGGUGCAAUUGAAUACAUUAGCAUGGAAUAAUAAAAUAUGGCUCCUGCCGUAUUUUGUUGGUUUUGACUGGUGGGAGUAAUGAUUGAUAGGGACGGUUGGGGGUGCUAGUAUUGAGCGGCCAGAGGUGAAAUUCAUGGAUUCGCUCAAGACUAACUUAUGCGAAAGCAUUCACCAAGGACGUCCUCUUUAAUCAAGAACGAAAGUUGGGGGAUCGAAGACGAUCAGAUACCGUCGUAGUCUCAACCAUAAACUAUGUCGACUUGGGAUCGGCGGUAGUUUUUUCAUUAAGACACUGUCGGGACCACGGGAGAAAUCAAAGUGUCUGGACUCUGGGGGAAGUAUGGUCGCAAGGCUGAAACUUGAAGGAAUUGACGGAAGGGCACCACCAGGAGUGGAGCCUGCGGCUUAAUUUGACCCAACACGGGGAACCUUACCAGGUCCAGAGAUGUAGAGGAUUGACAGAUUGAAGCUCUUUCUUGAUCACUUCGGUGGUGGUGCAUGGCCGUUCUUAGUUGGUGGAGUGAUUUGUCUGGUUAAUUCCGUUAACGAACGAGACCUCAGCCUGCUAGUGUAGUCGGCUGGAUUGCCUUUGGCGAUCCGUGAUUUCGACUUCUUAGAGGGACAAUCGACGCGCAGUCGAUGGAAGUUUGAGGCAAUAACAGGUCUGUGAUGCCCUUAGAUGUUCUGGGCCGCACGCGCGCUACACUGCUGGGCUCAGCGAGUUUUACUUGGCCGAGAGGCCCGGUUAAUCUUGUGAAAUCCCAGCGUGCUUGGGCUCGCCUCCUGCAACUGGAGGCGCCAACGAGGAAUUCCUAGUAGACGCAGGUCAUCAACCUGCAUCGAUUACGUCCCUGCCCUUUGUACACACCGCCCGUCGUUCCAUAAGAGUGAGGCAUCCGGUGAAUUCUCGGGAGAGCCUGGGCGUGGCCAGCAAUGGUCUGCUCGGGUUUGAACUUGCAUAAACUUGGUGCCUAUGAUUAGGGAAAAGUCGUAACAAGGUU
rnacentral:rRNA from 1 species